GGAAUGCCUUCAUCAGUGGCGAAGAAGCAAGCAGAUUCAGGAGUUUUAACAUCUAUGGAUAGAAUGCCAGCUGUCCAGAGAAAAAAAAUGCAGAAGCAACAAGGGUUCUUGGAGAGUCCUGAGAAAAUGGUUCACAGACAACAUUUUCAAGUGAAGAAUGAUGCAGACUUUCCCCCUCUCUGACCACCAGGGCACUCACAUGUGGAGAUUCAAGUAAAAGGGUGGAACUACAGCUAAACAGAAAUGCCGAUACCUAACCUGACAUUGGAUCCUUGCUUGCUCAGAAAUAACGCUGCCCUGGGAAGGCUUGUAAUACAAUUUUGUUUUUGUUUUCCUUCUGUCAAACCCCAAUAAUGGAAGCAUUUUUGUUGAGGAGGACUUGGAUGGGUUUCUCGUCCUUUCCACCUCUUUUGAAAAACAUAAGGUACUCUAUAUGAACUUUUGUCAGGAAAAAAUGGUUUAUUUUUCCAUCCUCUCUCAUCCUCGCUAAAGCUUUCUCCGCUGUUUGGUAAUCAUUCAGCUAGGAGUUUUUGAAGCUUGUAUCUGGGUGCUUUCUGUGAUUACGCUUUUUUUUUCCCCCCCCGCCUGUGUUAGCUGCUUU